UAACUCCGUGCCAGCAGCCGCGGUAAGACGGGGGAUGCAAGCGUUAUUCGGAAUUAUUGGGCGUAAAGCGUCUGUAGGUGGUGAGGAAAGUGUUUUGUUAAAGAUCAGGGCUCAACCCUGGGAAAGCAGAGCAAACUAUCUCACUUGAGUUCGGUAGGGGCAGAGAGAAUUCCCAGUGUAGCGGUGAAAUGCGUAGAUAUUGGGAGGAAGACCAGUGGCGAAGGCGUUCUGCUGGGCCGUAACUGACACUGAGAGACGAAAGCUAAGGUAGCAAAUAGGAUUAGAUACCCUAGUAGUCUUAGCUGUAAACGAUGCACACUAUGUUUUGCAAUUUGCAGAGCAAUAGCUAACGCGUUAAGUGUGCCGCCUGGGGAGUACAUUCGCAAGGAUGAAACUCAAAGGAAUUGACGGGGACCCGCACAAGCGGUGGAGCAUGUGGUUUAAUUCGAUGCAACGCGAAGAACCUUACCAAGAAUUGACAUGCUGCGAACAUUUAUGAAAGUAAAAAGUCUAUUAACUUAGUUAAUAGCGCAGACACAGGUGGUGCAUGGUUGUCGUCAGCUCGUGCCGUGAGGUGUUAGGUUAAGUCCUGCAACGAGCGCAACCCUUGUCUUUAGUUAUUUACUAGAGAGACUGCCGGUGAUAAACCGGAGGAAGGUGAGGAUGACGUCAAAUCAGCAUGCCCCUUACAUCUUGGGCGACUCACGUGCUACAAUGGUCGGGACAAAGAGAUGCUACCCUGCGAAGGCAAGCUAACCUCAAAAACCCGAUCUCAGUUCGGAUUGCAGGCUG
rnacentral:rRNA from 1 species